GGCGUAGGCCCGUUCCCCCGCUCGCGCUCCAGCCCGCGGAAAGGUCGCGUUCAGUGUAUCUUCCAGUUAAUGCUGCAAGCCCCUCGUAUCAAUGCGCUCGCGCGGCGGCGGCGCCUGCGCCGGGAGCGUCGGCGGCGGCGGCGGCGGCGCCUGCGCCGGGAGCGUUUGCGCCGACGCUGAUGGCCGGAGGUGUAAGGUCAACUGGUUGCGGAGGAUCGUGCGGGUAGCAAAGAGUGGCCGAGUAGUCCUGCGGCUCUCAGCCGGCAACCAAUUACUUCCUCUGUUGAAGUCUUGAACCCCUGAAAGUCAUCCCUGAGGGUUGGAGUUAACUUUCUACACUCCUGUUAAUGUUGAUGUUUUGACCUCCUCUCAUGCAUCACAAAUGUUCUUAAUGACAUCUAGAAUGGUUUGGGGAAAGUCUCAGCCUCAGUAACCAUCCCAGACACAGUCCAGAGGAUAUGAGCAGGCGGAGUGGGUCAUACGGAAAACAGUUCUCUUAGCACAGGCACCACCCCUAGAAUUUCCAGUACACCACCACCAGCUUGGAGACUACGUCCUCAUCAAAGGAUGGAAAGAAGAAAAAACUGAAGCCAUGAUAGGAAAGACCCUACAGGACCCAUAGCCCCAGAAAAUGUGUUUUCCAUGAACAACGCAAGCCCUGGACAUUACCUGGGGGAUGCUGAAGAAGAGAACUCAAAAGGCAAAGUGAAUCCUACUCUGGAUGCAGACACCAUUCACUCCAGAUAACUUGUUCCUUUUUUAUUCUCUCACUCUGCCUACCACCUGUACCUGCUACACUCUAUUCGAGCCUAUCUUCUAAUCUGCCUUUUUCCCCC